rnacentral:rRNA from 1 species
GAUGAACGCUGGCGGCGUGCCUAAUACAUGCAAGUCGAGCGAACAGACGAGGAGCUUGCUCCUCUGACGUUAGCGGCGGACGGGUGAGUAACACGUGGAUAACCUACCUAUAAGACUGGGAUAACUUCGGGAAACCGGAGCUAAUACCGGAUAAUAUAUUGAACAGCAUGGUUCAAUAGUGAAAGACGGUUUUGCUGUCACUUAUCGAUGGAUCCGCGCCGCAUUAGCUAGUUGGUAAGGUAACGGCUUACCAAGGCAACGAUGCGUAGCCGACCUGAGAGGGGGAGCGGCCACACUGGAAUGGAGCCACGGCCCAGACCACUACGGGAGGCAGCAGAAGGGAAUCGUCCGCAAGGGGAGAAAGCCGGACGGAGUAACGCCGCGCGAGUGAUGAAGGGCCGCGGAUCGGAAAAGUCUGUUAUUAGUGAAGAACAAAUGUGUAAGUAACUAGGCACGUGUUGACGGUACCUUAUCAGAAAGCCACGGCUAACUCCGUG